UCAGAUUCAGGUUUUAAUUUUUCACAACUUGUAACUCAACGAUAUACCAAUCAGAGAACACAUUUAAAAUAUAUUCAAAUAACAGCCAAAUCACCGAUAUACCAAUCAAGUUUAUUACAUUCCACCAAUCACAAUAUAACCAUACAAUAUUACACCAAUCACAGUAUAGCACUCUACAGAUAAAACGCUCAACAAGUACACGCACGUCUCCAACACCUUAGCGCCUUCAACCUGCAAAACAUCACAUCCAACCACAUAUUAAUGAUCAAAUCAAUUCACCCCUUGAUGGCAAUAAAAAACUGUGCUCAUGUAUGAACGAAAAUAAAAUGAACAAUCUUUGAGGCCAUAGCAUGUGCUACAAAAAUCUUAACAAAUGCAUAGAUAUCCACACGGAGCACAUCCUACAUGCACCAAGCAUCAGGCAUAUGUUCAAGAAGAUAAGUAAUUUGAGAUGGAAACAAGUACAACUAACAAUCUAACAUGUGUAGUAGCACCAGCAAAAAGAGCAAGACAUGGAAGAAUUUACAAGAACAGCACCCUGGGAGUCCAAUUACAUGUACAUGAGCUACUGUUGCUAGUGUAUAUAGAACCAGUCAAGCUGCUGGUGUAGGAGCAGAGCAUGAGUCCAACAGAGCCACAUAGGAGCAAACAACAGAUUAAGCACUGCUCCUAACCAACUUAGCAAAUCCAGAGCAACCCCAUACCACCAGAGCAUCACAGGAGCACAUAUAUAAAGCAAGUACGCAUGGGCAGCUACUGACAGACCCUAGAACCGCAUGAAUUUAUCACCAGAGAGCUCCAGUAGGAGUUGAUGCUUGGUUACAGCAUCUAGCAGCAACUAGCAGAGCCCCACAUCCAACCCAAAUCAUGGCCAAGGCCAUGCAGGAGCUACAUCAGAGAAGAAGGAACGGGGAGGAGAGCACCAGAGGAAGGUUGUAGCCGUAGGAGAGGCUCAGCCACACCACGACUGUGGUGUGACCAUCACCACAUCGAGGAGAGGGUCUGGAAGCCGCCGAAGCACCAC
rnacentral:lncRNA from 1 species